rnacentral:rRNA from 1 species
GACGAACCGUGCGAACGUUGUUCGGAAUCACUGGGCUUAAAGGGCGCGUAGGCGGGCCUCCAAGUCCGGGGUGAAAUCUUUCGGCUUAACCGGAAGAGUGCCUUGGAUACUGGGGGCCUUGAGGGAGGCAGGGGCGGAUGGAACUUCCGGUGGAGCGGUGAAAUGCGUUGAUAUCGGAAGGAACGCCGGUGGCGAAAGCGAUCCGCUGGACCUCAUCUGACGCUGAGGCGCGAAAGCCAGGGGAGCAAACGGG